UCUGUGAUACAAAGUACUGGGAUUAAAGGUGUGUGCCACCACUGCCUGAUUGUUUCUCUUUUAGAAUGGAUUAAGCUCAUGUAGCCUAGUGAGGCUUUAAAUUCACAGAAAUCCAGAGGGAUCUCUGCCUCUGCCUCCGAAAGGCUAGGAUUAAAGGUACCACAUCUGCCUG